CGACUGUGCGCUCACACAGACAUAUUAGAAUCAAGUGAACUUGAGAGUUUUUGAUAGAAAGAAUAUAUUACCUUUAUUAAAAAUUGAGUGUACACUGUUAUUAUUCUAUUGACGGAGGUGCGACCGUUUAGGUCUCGCAUAUUUGACUAGUUGCGACGUUUCACUAAGUUGUUUGUUAUGUUUGGUUAGUCACUGUUAUUGUUUCCAAUACGGCCGCUUAAUCAAAGCAUCACGAACGGGGGGUUUCUCCUCCAAGCAGGCCAAGCAUGGGUAAAUGCUGGGCAAGCUUCGGCCCAGUGAGGGACUUCGUGAAAAUGUCCGCAUGCAUUUUUUCUGUUGGGCAGUAGUAUACACGGGUCGGCGUUUUUAGGGUGUCGGUGCAGUGAAGGUCGUGGAGGAGUUGCCGCAACCAUACAAGUUCGGACGCGGCUGUGGCCAUGGCGACAUACUCAGCCUCGGUGCUGGAUAGGGCUGUCGUCUUUUGGCGCGCGGAGCUCCAACUGAUGGCGCUUGUUGACAGAAGAAAAACGUAGCCGGAUGUCGAGCGGCGUUGAUCCACUUCGCCUGCCCAGUCGGCAUCGCUGAAGCCGUAGAGAGGGCGCGGCACAGUAGAAGUGCGGCCGUACUCCAGGUAGUGGUCGAUAGUGCCGCGGAGGUACCGAAACACAUGUUUACAUGCACGUAUAUGGGCAUCGCCCGGGUUGUGCAUAUAUUGAGCAAGAACGCUGACCGUGAACGAGAGAUCCGGGCGAGUGCACAAGCUGGCCCAGUUCAGCGACCCUACAGCAUUCGCAUAGGGGAAGGCAGCAAUAAGGGCAGUUUCGGCAGAGGAGGACGGACAGUCGGCCGCUGAAAGAUAAGUCCCAGGGGCCAGCGGGGUCGACACAGGUUUGGAGGCGAGGAAACCGAAUUCUGCAAGCUUCUGUGUGAUGUACAGAGCUUGUGUGAUUCGGAACCAUCCGUGAUCAAGAUUUCGAGUGACCUGUAAACUGAGCAGGUGAUGUACUUCGCCGAGAUCGGAGAGUAAGAAGCGAGAGUGGAGUUGUCGCUUGAUCGAAUGGAGCAAGGGGAGGGAGUUUGCCGCGAUGAGAGUGUCAUCGACGUAGAGGGUGUGGACCGCGAAGUCAGAGCAAUUCUGUAACACAUAGACAUUCCCAUCCGCAGCAGAAUUUGUGAAGCCGAGGGUAAGUAAAAAGGUGUUUAUGACCGUAAACCAUUCUCGGGGAGACUGUUUCAACCCGUAGAGGGUCUUGAGUAAGCCGCAGACCAUGCCGGGGCGGGGGGAAGUCACCCCCUGCGGCACGCGCAUGUAUAUUUCCUCGGAGAGAACGCCAUUUAAGAAGGCUGUGUUCACGUCCAUCCGAUGGACAUGAAGGUUCAGCUGGGCGGCAAGGGCGAGAAUCAGUCGUAUUGACUGAAUUCUCACCACCGGGGAGAACGUCUCGUGGUAGUCAACCCGGGAAUUUGGUUAAAACCCCGGGCUACGAGACGGGCCUUGUAG